CCAAGUCCCGAUCGAAUUGGGGAAUUCCCCUUUGGCUGACCUGGUAGAGUCUUGGUCUUGAGUGCGAGCAAUCUGGGGUUCGAAUCCCACCA